rnacentral:rRNA from 1 species
UCGGGAGGCAGCAGUAGGGAAUCUUCCGCAAUGGACGAAAGUCUGACGGAGCAACGCCGCGUGAGUGAUGAAGGCUUUCGGGUCGUAAAACUCUGUUGUUAGGGAAGAACAAGUGCUAGUUGAAUAAGCUGGCACCUUGACGGUACCUAACCAGAAAGCCACGGCUAACUACGUGCCAGCAGCCGCGGUAAUACGUAGGUGGCAAGCGUUAUCCGGAAUUAUUGGGCGUAAAGCGCGCGCAGGUGGUUUCUUAAGUCUGAUGUGAAAGCCCACGGCUCAACCGUGGAGGGUCAUUGGAAACUGGGAGACUUGAGUGCAGAAGAGGAAAGUGGUAUUCCAUGUGUAGCGGUGAAAUGCGUAGAGAUAUGGAGGAACACCAGUGGCGAAGGCGACUUUCUGGUCUGUAACUGACACUGAGGCGCGAAAGCGUGGGGAGCAAACAGGAUUAGAUACCCUGGUAGUCCACGCCGUAAACGAUGAGUGCCUAAGUUGUUUC